CCUACGGGUGGCAGCAGUGGGGAAUAUUGGACAAUGGGCGAAAGCCUGAUCCAGCCAUGCCGCGUGUGUGAAGAAGGCCUUCGGGUUGUAAAGCACUUUCAGUGGGGAAGAAAGCCUUGGGGCUAAUACCCUCGAGGAAGGACAUCACCCACAGAAGAAGCACCGGCUAACUCCGUGCCAGCAGCCGCGGUAAUACGGAGGGUGCGAGCGUUAAUCGGAAUUACUGGGCGUAAAGCGCGCGUAGGCGGUCUGAUAAGCCGGUUGUGAAAGCCCGGGGCUCAACCUGGGAACGGCAUCCGGAACUGUCAGGCUAGAGUGCAGGAGAGGAAGGUAGAAUUCCCGGUGUAGCGGUGAAAUGCGUAGAGAUCGGGAGGAAUACCAGUGGCGAAGGCGGCCUUCUGGACUGACACUGACGCUGAGGUGCGAAAGCGUGGGUAGCAAACAGGAUUAGAUACCCGUGUAGUC
rnacentral:rRNA from 1 species